rnacentral:rRNA from 1 species
GACGAACACUGGCGGCGUGCUUAGCACAUGCAAGUCGAACGGACCCUUUGGGGUUAGUGGCGAACGGGUGAGUAACACGUGGGUGAUCUGCCCUGCACUUUGGGAUAAGCCUGGGAAACUGGGUCUAAUACCGGAUAGGACUACGCACUGCAUGGUGUGUGGUGGAAAGCUUUUGCGGUGUGGGAUGGGCCCGCGGCCUAUCAGCUUGUUGGUGGGGUGAUGGCCUACCAAGGCGACGACGGGUAGCCGGCCUGAGAGGGUGACCGGCCACACUGGGACUGAGAUACGGCCCAGACUCCUACGGGAGGCAGCAGUGGGGAAUAUUGCACAAUGGGCGCAAGCCUGAUGCAGCGACGCCGCGUGAGGGAUGACGGCCUUCGGGUUGUAAACCUCUUUCGCCAGGGACGAAGCGCAAGUGACGGUACCUGGAGAAGAAGGACCGGCCAACUACGUGCCAGCAGCCGCGGUAAUACGUAGGGUCCGAGCGUUGUCCGGAAUUACUGGGCGUAAAGAGCUCGUAGGUGGUUUGUCGCGUUGUUCGUGAAAACUCACAGCUUAACUGUGGGCGUGCGGGCGAUACGGGCAGACUGGAGUACUGCAGGGGAGACUGGAAUUCCUGGUGUAGCGGCGGAAUGCGCAGAUAUCAGGAGGAACACCGGUGGCGAAGGCGGGUCUCUGGGCAGUAACUGACGCUGAGGAGCGAAAGCGUGGGGAGCGAACAGGAUUAGAUACCCUGGUAGUCCACGCCGUAAACGGUGGGUACUAGGUGUGGGUCUCCUUCCUUGGGAUCCGUGCCGUAGCUAACGCAUUAAGUACCCCGCCUGGGGAGUACGGCCGCAAGGCUAAAACUCAAAGGAAUUGACGGGGGCCCGCACAAGCGGCGGAGCAUGUGGAUUAAUUCGAUGCAACGCGAAGAACCUUACCUGGGUUUGACAUGCACAGGACGCCGGCAGAGAUGUCGGUUCCCUUGUGGCCUGUGUGCAGGUGGUGCAUGGCUGUCGUCAGCUCGUGUCGUGAGAUGUUGGGUUAAGUCCCGCAACGAGCGCAACCCUUGUCUCAUGUUGCCAGCACGUUAUGGUGGGGACUCGUGAGAGACUGCCGGGGUCAACUCGGAGGAAGGUGGGGAUGACGUCAAGUCAUCAUGCCCCUUAUGUCCAGGGCUCCACACAUGCUACAAUGGCCGGUACAAAGGGCUGCGAUGCCGUGAGGUGGAGCGAAUCCUUUCAAAGCCGGUCUCAGUUCGGAUCGGGGUCUGCAACUCGACCCCGUGAAGUCGGAGUCGCUAGUAAUCGCAGAUCAGCAACGCUGCGGUGAAUACGUUCCCGGGCCU